rnacentral:rRNA from 1 species
GUAGGUGGCAAGCGUUGUCCGGAAUUAUUGGGCGUAAAGCGCGCGCAGGUGGUUCUUUAAGUCUGAUGUGAAAGCCCCCGGCUCAACCGGGAGGGUCAUUGGAAACUGGGGAACUUGAGUGCAGGAGAGGAAAGUGGAAUUCCACGUGUAGCGGUGAAAUGCGUAGAUAUGUGGAGGAACACCAGUGGCGAAGGCGACUUUCUGGCCUGUAACUGACACUGAGGCGCGAAAGCGUGGGGAGCAAACAGGGAUUAGAUACCCUGGUAGUCCACGCCGUAAACGAUGAGUGCUAAGUGUUGGGGGGGUUUCCCGCCCCUCAGUGCUGCAGCUAACGCAUUAAGCACUCCGCCUGGGGAGUACGGUCGCAAGACUG